rnacentral:tRNA from 1 species
GCCUGGGUAGCUCAGUCGGUUGAGUGUCUGACUUCAGCUCAGGUCUUGAUCUCACAGUUCGUGAGUUCAAUGCCUGCAUCAGGCU